CACGACUCCAGGCCAGACGGGAUUACCCAUUAAGUUUAAGCAUAUCAAUAGGUGGAGGAAAAGAAACUUACUAAGAUACCCCUAAUAAUGGUGAGCGAACUAAGAAGAGCCCAACUUGAGAAUCGGGUACCCUUGAAGUUUGAAUUGUAGUUUGGAGAAGCAUCCUCAAUAGUAGACCGGGACCAAGUCCCUUGGAAAAAGGUGCUAAAGAAGGUGAGAGCCCCUUUGUGCAUGGACCCUAUCACAAGGUGUUAUUUGCAAGUCGGGUUGUUUAAGAAUGUAGCCCCAAUCAGGGCGAUAAAUUUUGUCCAAGGUUGAAUACAAGUGUGAGACUGAUAGCAAACAAGUAACAUAAGGGAAAGAUGAAAAGGACUUUGAAAAGAGAGUCAAAGAUUUUUUUGGAAGGGGAAGUGGAUGAGCGCCAAUGAUACACCCUAGUCAGAUGUGGAAUGAUGAGAGUUAGUUCAUCAAUCAACUAAGGGCAUGGACCGACAUAGGUCACGGAGGCAGCCUAAGCCCGAGCUUUCAAUAUGCUCAUAGAGAUGUCAUAGCCAUGAUCGUGAAAUAUAGCACAUGUGAUUUUAGCAUGCCUUAGCAUCAACAUGCUCUUAGCAUUAUCUUGUGGGAUCCUUAUUCAGGGCCUAUCUUGAAGUAUAGACCAAGGAGUCUGACAUGUGUCAUGUGUGUAAGUCAGUAGGCUAGAAAACAUGUAAGGCGCUGGGAUCCCUCAUGAGUGCACCAUUGAUUGACCUUGAUCUUCUGAGAAGGGUUUGAGUGUGAGCAUGGCUAUUAGGACUCAAAAGAUGGUGAACUAUGCCUGAGUAGGGUGAAGCCAAAGGAAACUUUGGUGGAGGCCCAUAUCGAUAUUGAUAUGCAAAUCAUUCAUCAGACUUAGGUAUAAGGGUGAAAGACUAAUCAAACUAUCUAGUAGCUGGUUCCCUCUGAUAUUUGCCUCAGAAUAACUGGAGGCCCUAGUGAGUUCUAUCAGGUAAAGCCAAUGAUUAGAGGCAUCAGGGGUGUAAUGCCCUCGACGUAUUCUCAAACUUUAAAUAGGUAAGAUGGCAUGACUACUUCAUUGAGCCACACCACCAAAUCGAAAGCUCCAAGUGGGCCAUUUUUGGUAAGCAGAACUAGUGGUAUAGGAUGAAUCGAAAGCUUGGUUAUAGUGCCCAACUAUGUGCUAACCUAGAACCCAUAAAGGGUGUUAGUCGAUUAAGAUAGUAGGAUGAUGGUCACAAAAGUUGAAAUCUGCUAAAGAGUGUGUAACAACUCACUUGCCAUAUCAACUAGCCCAAAAAAUGGAUGACGCUUAAGUGUGAGACCUAUACCCUACCAUUAGGGCAAGGGCCAAGCCCUGAUGAGUUAGAGGGCACGAUGGUCAUCGUAAAACCUAAGGUAUGAGCUCGAGCAAAGUGGCUAUCAGUGCAGAUCUUGGUGGUAGUAGCAAAUAUUCAAAUGAGAACUUUAAAGGCCGAAGAGGGGAAAAGUUUCAUGUGAAUGGCACUUACACAUGGAUUAGUCGAUCCUAAGAGACGGGGGUAGUCUGUCUCAUAACACAUCCAAUGUGGUGACUAACGAUAAUGUUAGGGAGUCUAAAGAGAUUGGCGAAAGCCUUGGAAAGAGUUAUCUUUUCUAUUUAAUGACCUGCCCACCCUAGAAACGGCUCAACUAGAGGUAAGGUCCAGUGGCUGAAAGAGCACCACAUGUCACGUGGUGUCUGAUGCACCCUUGAUGGCCUUUGAAAAUCUACAGGAUUGACUAUCAUCUGUGCUCGGUCAUACUUAUAACCGCAUUAGGUCUCCCAAGUGAAUAGCCUUUGGUCAAUGGAAUAAUGUAGGCAAAGGAAAUCAACAAAAUGGAUCUGUAACCUCGGGAAAAAGAUUGGCGCUGAGGCUUAGGCAUGUGGGUCUCAAUCAUAAACCCAUCGACUAUUGGUUCACUGCUCGAGUUGUUAUCAUGAUAAGAGCGAGUCACCGCAUGCCAGGUGAGGGACAAAUCGGAAAUAGCUCCCUCAAGGGCCUUCUUCGAGUGACUAAUAGUCAACUUAGAAUUGGUAUGGAUAAGGGGAAUGCGACUGUUUAAUUAAAACAAAGCAUUGCGAUGGUUCCUAUAGAUGCUCACGCAAUGUGAUUUCUACCCACUACUCUGAAUGUUAAAGUGAAAAAUUCAACCAAGCACGGGUAAACGGUGGGAGUAACUAUGGCUCUCUUAAGGUAGCCAAAUGUCUCAUCAUCUAAUUAGUGACACGUAUGAAUGGAUUAACAAGAUUUUCACUAUCCCUAUUUGCUAUCUAGUGAAACCACAACCAAGGGAAUGGGCUUGGCAAAAUCAAUAAGGAAAGAAGACCUUGUUGAGCUUGACUCUAGUCCAACUUUGUGAAAUGACUUAAAAGGUAUAGGAUAAGUGGAAGCCCUUGGGUGAAAUUGAAAUACUACUACUUUUAAUGUUAUUUUACUUAUUUCGUGAAUUGGAGGUGAGGCAAGACCCCUUUUUUUGGACCAAGGCCAACCUUGGUCAGUCGAUCCGAAAGGAAGACAUUGUUAGGUGGGGAGUUUGGUUGGGGCAACACAUUUGUUAAAAGAUAACGUAGGUGUCCUAAGAUAAGCUCAACGAGAACAGAAAUCUCAUAUGAAACAAAAGGGUAAAAGCUCAUUUGACUCUAAUUUCCAGUACGAAUAUGAACCAUGAAAGCAUGGCCUAUUCAUCCUUUAGACCUUUGAAAUUUGAAGCUAGAGGUGUCAAAAAAGUUACCACAGGGAUAACUAGCUUAUGGCAACCAAGGGUUCAUAGCGACGUUGCUUCUUGAUCGUUCGAUGUCUGCUUUUUUGAUCAUUGUGAAAUAGAAUUCAUGAAGGGUUAGAUUGUUCACCCACCAAUAGGGAACAUAAGCUAGGUUUAGACUCUGUGAGAUGGGUUAUUUUUACCCUAUUGAUGGUAGCAUCGCAAUAGUAAUUCAACCUAGUAUGGGAGGAACCAUUGAUUUGCAUAAUUGGCCAUUGUGCUUGGUUGAAAAGUAAAUGGUGCGAAGGUACCAUGCACUAGAUUAUGACUGAAUGCCUCUAAGUCAAAAUUCAAGCUUAAAGCUAUGUACAUGCCCAUCGCCCAAUUGUCGACUUGCUAUAGGGGCCCAUGCCCCCUAAGGGCACGUGUCAUAGGUGUAGUCCCAAUGGUGGAUAAGUGUGUGGCUUCCUUGGAGCUUAAUUCCCAUCGAGCGGCAAGUAGAAUCCUUUGCAGAUGAU
rnacentral:rRNA from 1 species